CUGAACUUGGAUUCCUUAUUAGAUAAGGAUUGGAUCAAGUCCAUAGACUUGAACCUUAUCUAGAUCCACUUUGAUUUGGAUUUAGAGGGGCACCAAUUUGAGGGCCCAAUAGGAUUGGAUCAAGCCAAUGAGUUGGCAAACAAAUUACUUUAUUUUUCUCUCUUGAUAUUUCUUUUUUGGUGUGAAUUAAUUGGAAAGAGAAGAG
rnacentral:lncRNA from 1 species